UACGGGGGGAGCGAACGUUGUUCGGAAUCAUUGGGCGUAAAGGGCGUGUAGGCGGUCUGCUAAGUCAUGUGUGAAAGCCCUCGGCUUAACCGAGGAACGACGCAUGAAACUGGCAGCUAGAGUACCAAAGAGGGGGUGGAAUUCCCGGUGUAAGCGGUGAAAUGCGUAGAUAUCGGGAGGAACACCGGUGGCGAAGGCGGCCC
rnacentral:rRNA from 1 species